rnacentral:rRNA from 1 species
CCUACGUGAGGCAGCAGUGGGGAAUAUUGCACAAUGGGGGAAACCCUGAUGCAGCAACGCCGCGUGAGUGAAGAAGUAUUUCGGUAUGUAAAGCUCUAUCAGCAGGGAAGAAGAUGACGGUACCUGACUCAGAAGCCCCGGCUAACUACGUGCCAGCAGCCGCGGUAAUACGUAGGGGGCAAGCGUUAUCCGGAUUUACUGGGUGUAAAGGGAGCGCAGACGGAAGUGCAAGUCUGAAGUGAAAGCCCGGGGCCCAACCCCGGAACUGCUCUGGAAACUGGGCGGCUGGAGUACUGGAGGGGCAGGCGGAAUUCCUAGGGUAGCGGUGAAAUGCGUAGAUAUUAGGAGGAACACCAGUGGCGAAGGCGGCCUGCUGGACAGUAACUGACGUUGAGGCUCGAAAGCGUGGGAAGCAAACAGGAUUAGAUACCCUUGUAGUC